GAGGAGUUCAGGUGGUGCUCCUGGCUGGCCAAAGGCACCUGCAGCACCACAGACAGCUCAGUGCUGGCAGGACUGUGGGGGAGCUGGCUGCUGGGCCUGAACUUAGAUGAGCCCUGAGAAAAGCAGCUGUGCCCUUCCUGUUCUGUGAGCUUGGGACAAAUAUUCAUGAUCAGUGAUUCUCCAGGAGAGCUCACAAGGUCUGGUUUGGAUAAGGAUCUGGAAGGCAGUCUUCUGAGCUACAGUUUAGGAUGGUGGUGAUAAAACAAUGUGCUUGAAUGGAGCAGAAGGAAGAAAUCCACGGGGAG